rnacentral:tRNA from 1 species
GCGGAAGUGGUGGAAUUGGUAGACACGCCAGGUUUAGGUUCUGGUGCCGCAAGGUGUGAGAGUUCAAGUCUCUCCUUCCGCACCA